rnacentral:rRNA from 1 species
AUAAACUACCAUACCACGUUGAAAGUGCUGGUCUGAUCACCGAAGUUAAACAACUUCGGGUAGGGCUAUAACUUGCAUGUGUGACCGGCUGGGAAUAUCUGGUGUUGCUGACU